GAUGAAGAACGUAGCGAAAUGCGAUAAGUAAUGUGAAUUGCAGAAUUCAGUGAAUCAUCGAAUCUUUGAACGCACAUUGCGCCCAUUAGUAUUCUAGUGGGCAAGCCUGUUCGAGCGUCAUUAAGUCCACUUAAGCCCUGCUUAGUGUUGGGAGACUGCUCCAGCGGUGCUACCCUGUAGCUACCCUGCAGCUCCUCAAAGACAGCGGCGGAGUUGUGGUAUCCUCUGAGCUUAGUAACUUGUUCUAGCUUUCGAGUACACCACUUCCCCUGCCGUAAAACCCUUAAUUUUUAAUGGUUGACCUCGGAUCAGGUAGGAAUACCCGCUGAACUUAAGCAUAUCAAUAAGCGGAGGA
rnacentral:misc_RNA from 1 species